GUCGUAACAAGGUUUCCGUAGGUGAACCUGCGGAAGGAUCAUUCACACGAAUUAAUCCAACCAUACCAUUGUGAAUCUCCCGCUGUGAGGUUUCCGUCUGGGGUUGACUUGCGCGGUUCUUCCACGCAUGGCCCUCGGGCGGGACCUCGAGGGUGGUGGGGCUGACUCGGAGCAUUCUCCUCGUCCGCCGCCUGCCACCGGGCUUCCUUACACUCAUAACAAACCUCGUGCCAAUUCUUCUUUCAUAUUCCUGUGUUGCUCUGGUGAGCUUGCUCGCCUUGCGGCAUAGAUUCAAGUGAAUUACAACUUUCAGCGACGGAUGUCUCGGCUCGAACAACGAUGAAGGGCGCAGCGAAGUGUGAUAAACAUUGUGAAUUGCAGAAUUCCGUGAACCAAUAGGACCUUGAACGUAUACUGCACCGUCGGGUUAUCCCUGACGGUAUGCCUUCUUCGGUGUCUAACUCCCUCUUUGCGUCUCGCGCUUUCCUGCGUGUUUCGCGUGUCUGCGCGCCAGGGCGCUCUCUCGCAAGAGUGAGCCACUGACGCGUUCAAUGAAUUGGGGCCACCACGACGAGCAACUUAAAACUCAACUCGUUUGUUUUUUGUGUUGCGCUUCGCCGUGUGUUCGGUUCCCAUUCCUCACCCUGCCGAUGGAGCAUCUCUCUCCAUCCAAGACACGAAGUGAGGUCAGAAAACCCGCUGAAUUUAAGCAUAUAAGUAAGCGGAGGACGAGAAACUAAAUAGGAUUCCCCUAGUAAUGGCGAAUGAACAGGGAACAGCUCAGCAUGAAAAUCGGGGCCUCUGGCCUUGAAUUGUAGUCUCGAGAGGUACUGCCAAUGGAGGCGCAGAUGUAAGCUCUUGGAAAAGAGCACCGGCGAGGGUGAGAGUCCCGUUUGUCAUCUGCAGUCCUCUGUGUACGGUGUGCCUUCUAUGAGUCACGUUCCUCGGGAUUGGAGCGCAAAGUGGGUGGUAAAUUUCAUCUAAAGCUAAAUAUAGGUUCGAGACCGAUAGCAAACAAGUACCAUGAGGGAAAGGUGAAAAGGACUUUGAAAAGAGAGUUAAAAGUGCCUGAAAUCGCUGAAGGGGAAGCGAAUGGACCCAGUCUGUCUUGGCGGGAUUUGGCGCAUGCUACGGUGAUGGCUUCUCACAUCAGCGCAAGCGUUGUGGGGGGUUCUGAGCCUGCCGCGUGUGUUGCUGCCUGCCUUGCGUGUCAACGUCGGUUCGGGGUUGGAGAAGACUCUGGGGAGGUGGUAGGUCGCUCGCGGGUGUCUGAACACUGCCCGGUAGAAUCCAGCUCUGGACCGAAGCUUGCGUUGGGAUGCUCGCUGCGUUCGUCGUUCGUGCUCGCUUGCUUGUCGCGUGUAGCUUCUGUUGCACCGGCCGGUAGGUGUGGUGUGUGCGUCAGCGUAGUUAGCCCCAUCAAAGACGAUGACGAAAUGGUUUCAUCCGACCCGUCUUGAAACACGGACCAAGGAGUCUAACAUAUGUGCGAGUUCACGGGCGGUAAACCUGCUAGCGCAAUGAAAGUGACUGCUGGGAUAUUUGCACCAGCAACCGACUGAUCAACUGAGUGAGGUUUGAGUAUGAGCAUAUCUGUUAGGACCCGAAAGAUGGUGAACUAUGCGUGA
rnacentral:rRNA from 1 species